GGCCAGCAUUUGAUAGGUGUGUACAGAGCAAAGAUAAGAUGUAGUCGAUAGGCUUAUUUUUGAAGGAUUCCGACUAUCGUGUGCAGGUUUCUCAACUGGAGCGCCACGGGGAGCGAAGAAGCCAAGGAGUGUAUCAAGAGGCUUGAUGCGCAUGCGCGGUGCGACGGCGGCACACUUCUGGCUGCAUCUUUUUACAUUUCCCAAGAGGAAAACAUGUUGCUGUGUACCGCUAGCUAUUGCGGACACUGGGAUUGCCCUGCGGGUGCGCCACUCAUAUCACCUUGUCGGUCACAAAC